UUAGCGGAUCAGCAUGCCGCGGUGAAUACGUUCCCGGGCCUUGUACACACCGCCCGUCACACCAUGAGAGUUUGUAACACCCAAAGUCGGUGGGGUAACCUUUUAGGAACCAGCCGCCUAAGGUGGGACAGAUGAUUAGGGUGAAGUCGUAACAAGGUAGCCGUAGGAGAACCUGCGGCUGGAUCACCUCCUUU
rnacentral:rRNA from 1 species